GGAUCACAAACUUUUGACUCUCUUCCACCAGAAACUCAAGCACUGAAAGCAGCUUUUAUGAAAUGUGGAAGUGAGGACACUGCUCCAGUUAUCAUGUUUGUUUCCAAAAUGUUUGCAGUUGAUGCUAAGGCCUUGCCUCAGAAUAAGCCAAGGCCUCUCACUCAAGAAGAAAUUGCUCAGAGACGUGAGCGUGCAAGACAAAGGCGUGACGAGCAACAGGUGGAAAGUAUGACCCCCAAACCUGUGCUCCAGGAAGA
rnacentral:lncRNA from 1 species